rnacentral:rRNA from 1 species
GCCGCAACUGACGCUGAGGAGCGAAAGCAUGGGGAGCGAACAGGAUUAGAUACCCUGGUAGUCCAUGCCGUAAACGUUGGGCACUAGGUGUGGGACUCAUUCCACGAGUUCCGUGCCGCAGCUAACGCAUUAAGUGCCCCGCCUGGGGAGUACGGCCGCAAGGCUAAAACUCAAAGGAAUUGACGGGGGCCCGCACAAGCGGCGGAGCAUGCGGAUUAAUUCGAUGCAACGCGAAGAACCUUACCAAGGCUUGACAUGCACCGGACGCUGCCAGAGAUGGUGGUUCCGCAAGGUCGGUGCACAGGUGGUGCAUGGUUGUCGUCAGCUCGUGUCGUGAGAUGUUGGGUUAAGUCCCGCAACGAGCGCAACCCUUGUCCUAUGUUGCCAGCGGGUUAUGCCGGGGACUCAUGGGAGACUGCCGGGGUCAACUCGGAGGAAGGCGGGGAUGACGUCAAAUCAUCAUGCCCCUUAUGUCUUGGGCUUCACGCAUGCUACAAUGGCCGGUACAGAGGGCUGCGAUACCGUAAGGUGGAGCGAAUCCCAAAAAGCCGGUCUCAGUUCGGAUUGGGGUCUGCAACUCGACCCCAUGAAGUCGGAGUCGCUAGUAAUCGCAGAUCAGCAACGCUGCGGUGAAUACGUUCCCGGGCCUUGUACACACCGCCCGUCAAGUCACGAAAGUUGGUAACACCCGAAGCUCA